rfam:Streptomyces sp. FXJ1.172 contig00164, whole genome shotgun sequence.
GGCCAAGUUUUUAAGGGCGCACGGUGGAUGCCUUGGCACCAGGAACCGAUGAAGGACGUGGGAGGCCGCGAUAGUCCCCGGGGAGUCGUCAACCAGGCUUUGAUCCGGGGGUUUCCGAAUGGGGAAACCCGGCAGUCGUCAUGGGCUGUCACCCGCUGCUGAACACAUAGGCAGUGUGGAGGGAACGAGGGGAAGUGAAACAUCUCAGUACCCUCAGGAAGAGAAAACAACCGUGAUUCCGGGAGUAGUGGCGAGCGAAACUGGAUGAGGCCAAACCGUAUGCGUGUGAGACCCGGCAGGGGUUGCGCAUGCGGGGUUGUGGGUUCUUUCUUCUGUCGUCUGCCGGCGGCAGGACGAGUCAGAAACCGUUGAUGUAGGCGAAGGACAUGCGAAAGGUCCGGCGUAGAGGGUAAGACCCCCGUAGUCGAAACGUCAGCGGCUCGUUUGAGAGAUACCCAAGUAGCACGGGGCCCGAGAAAUCCCGUGUGAAUCUGGCGGGACCACCCGCUAAGCCUAAAUAUUCCCUGGUGACCGAUAGCGGAUAGUACCGUGAGGGAAUGGUGAAAAGUACCCCGGGAGGGGAGUGAAAUAGUACCUGAAACCGUGUGCCUACAAGCCGUGGGAGCGUCGGAUGCAGCUUGCUGUAUCUCGUGACUGCGUGCCUUUUGAAGAAUGAGCCUGCGAGUUUGCGGUGUGUUGCGAGGUUAACCCGGGUGGGGAAGCCGUAGCGAAAGCGAGUCCGAACAGGGCGUUUUAGUAGCACGCUCAAGACCCGAAGCGGAGUGAUCUAGCCAUGGGCAGGUUGAAGCGGAGGUAAGACUUCGUGGAGGACCGAACCCACCAGGGUUGAAAACCUGGGGGAUGACCUGUGGUUAGGGGUGAAAGGCCAAUCAAACUCCGUGAUAGCUGGUUCUCCCCGAAAUGCAUUUAGGUGCAGCGUCGUGUGUUUCUUGCCGGAGGUAGAGCACUGGAUAGGCGAUGGGCCCUACCGGGUUACUGACCUUAGCCAAACUCCGAAUGCCGGUAAGUGAGAGCGCGGCAGUGAGACUGUGGGGGAUAAGCUCCAUGGUCGAGAGGGAAACAGCCCAGAGCAUCGACUAAGGCCCCUAAGCGUACGCUAAGUGGGAAAGGAUGUGGAGUCGCACAGACAACCAGGAGGUUGGCUUAGAAGCAGCCACCCUUGAAAGAGUGCGUAAUAGCUCACUGGUCUAGUGAUUCCGCGCCGACAAUGUAGCGGGGCUCAAGCGUACCGCCGAAGUCGUGUCAUUCAUAUAUAUAGCCCCAACGGGUGUAUGGAUGGGUAGGGGAGCGUCGUCUGCCGGGUGAAGCGGCACUGGAAGGUAGUCGUGGACGGUUGACGAGUGAGAAUGCAGGCAUGAGUAGCGAUUCACACGUGAGAAACGUGUGCGCCGAUUGACUAAGGGUUCCUGGGUCAAGCUGAUCUGCCCAGGGUAAGUCGGGACCUAAGGCGAGGCCGACAGGCGUAGUCGAUGGAUAACCGGUUGAUAUUCCGGUACCCGCUGUGAAGCGUCAAACAUCGAGCAUCGUGAUGCUAAGGCCGUGAAGCCGUUCCGGACCCUUCGGGGAAAGGAAAGUGGUGGAGCCGCCGGACCAAGCGGUUAGUAGGUGAGUGAUGGGGUGACGCAGGAAGGUAGUCCAUCCCGGGCGGUGGUUGUCCCGGGGUAAGGGUGUAG